AAUAAAAUGAAUGUCAGUCAAGUCUCCGUCUAUCUGUUCGCAUGCGUGACGGACGUUAGGAACUGGAUAUUGUCUUGUCCAUGAGGAACACGCCCUAUCAGAAUGUUCGUAGGUAUCAUGGGUGGGCAGAGGAAGUUGUUUUUCAAUUAAAUUACGCACCCAGCAAGCAACGGACGUGUCUAUGUGUGGUCCAUAUUAUUUAGAUUAAUUUCUGCAAUCUCUGUUUAAUUCAGAAGUAAAGUAGAGAUAUAACAAUGGCGACGAUGAUUAAUUGGCAUUAGCUAGUUGUAAACUACAGUUUCGUUAGUUAGUAUGGAGAAAUCCGGGAUUCAGCAUUUUGCAUGCUACACCGAGCCGGUGUUCUGCCAUUUUCUGCUACCCAUCAAAUUCUGCUACCUAGUGGUUCUGCGCAUGCAGAACCACUGAUUGGUGCGUGCGCACCAAUCAGUUUCUGGCGGAUGGUUCCAGAUGGAAGCGAUGGCCGACGUCGUUGCAGCUGUAUGCUGACGGCAAAGGGCUUAUCGUAGCCGCGGAUUCACCUGAUGCUACGAGGCAAAGGAGACGUGCUCUGCUACUUCAUCUGGCUGGACCAGACGUACAGGACAUCUUAUCAACUCUUCCGGACACGGUGUCCUCGGUCAUGGCUCAAUGUUGGAUACCGAGUGACAGCACCGCUGGGCGGACGCCGGACGCUAGCCUGUCACAUAGCGAUGCUGGAUUAGACCCCCCAGCAGAUGGCGCUAUUGCAACACGUACUCCCUUAGAAGCUCCCUCGUUUGUCCCUAAUGUGUUUCCAGAAGUACAUGUCACGUACGAUGGCGGUACAUCCGUAACGACAGUGUCCCUAAUGUGUCACGUACGAUGGCGGUACAUCCGUAACGACAGUGUCCCUAAUGUGUUUCCAGACGUAUAUGUCCCGUACGAUGGCGGUACAUCCGUACCGACAGUGUCCCUGAUGUGUCCCGUACGAUGGCGGUACAUCCGUAACGACAGUGUCCCUGAUGUGUUUCCAGACGUAUAUGUCCCGUACGAUGGCGGUACAUCCGUAACGACAGUGUCCCUGAUGUGGUUCUUGAGACGGAAAAUCGGCGGUGCCUAUUUCCCGAAAUAUCGAUCCCUGCUCACAUGCACACAUGUUCCCUUGCAGGGAAUGUUCAAGAACAUUGCAGGAAAAGACGUUGCAUCAUGUGUGAAAGCUGGUUUGAAAAGUGCUUUUCUAAAAAUGGACGAUUAUUGUUCUCAUGAUAUAUUAUAUAAAUGAUGUGAAUGUUUCUUCGAUGGAGAGGAGCUGGUGUUGAGAUCUGGAUGGGUGCAGUGAGCUGUGUCUGAGCUGAACUCUGCGUUAUCAUAAUAACACAUUAACUGGAUUCACAUGGUAAUGCAUAUAAAGAUUGAAGAGGUAGUUAGGUACGAGAGGAGUCACGAGAUGGAGGGAGAGGAGUGAAGGGAAGGAGGUGAACUGAUGAAGACGAUGUCGAGGGGCAGCCUUCUGCGGGCCUGCGAGGACGGAGGUGGCGGCUCGCCGGGGAGAGGAGGGCACGGAGAGCGUUCCUCAGAGAGGGCCGCUGAGAAGGCCCUGCAAACCCAGAGAAGGCCCUGCCAACCCAGAGAAGGCCCUGCAA